rnacentral:rRNA from 1 species
CACCGCCCGUCACACCACGAAAGCUGGUUCUGCCCGAAGUGCUGAGCUAACCCGAAAGGGAGGCAGGCUCCGAAGGCAGUGCUAGUGAUUGGGUG